UGCCAGCUGACGAGUCCCAAGUAGAACGAAACGCGCGUCCCGGAU
rnacentral:hammerhead_ribozyme from 1 species